rnacentral:rRNA from 1 species
CCUACGGGUGGCUGCAGUGGGGAAUAUUGCGCAAUGGGCGAAAGCCUGACGCAGCAACGCCGCGUGGGGGAUGAAGGUUCUCGGAUUGUAAACCCCUUUCGAUCGGAACGAAUCCCCUCCUGGUAAAUAAUCAGGAGGAUCGACGGUACCGAGAGAAGAAGCCACGGCUAACUCUGUGCCAGCAGCCGCGGUAAGACAGAGGUGGCGAGCGUUGUUCGGGUUUAUUGGGCGUAUUUGGAAAGUCGGCGGUGAAAGACCACAGCUUAACUGUGGCACUGCCUUUGAUACUGCCUUUCUUGAGUGCAUGAGGGGGAAGCGGAAUUCCGAGUGUAGAGGUGAAAUUCGUAGAUAUUCGGAGGAACACCGGUGGCGAAGGCGGCUUCCUGGCAUGUAACUGACGCUCAUGUUCGAAAGCGUGGGUAGCAAACAGGAUUAGAUACCCGUGUAGUC